rnacentral:lncRNA from 1 species
GUCACGGAUGCCGCCUUCUGAUUGGACGGAGAGGGAAGCGUUGGGAUCCCGACGUUGCGCUGCGCCCCUGUGAGGGGCUGAGCCCGACUGGAUUUGUGCCCAGCCACGGGGCGGCGGUUGGAGUCCCGCGUUCAGGCCUCGUGGCCAUCUUUUUCUUCUCGUUAUACUUACAAUAAUGGAAAAGUGCAGGAAGGACUUUUUAUGUGAUUCAUAAAUUCUCUCCAGUAUUGCUCUCCCUCUGGAUGUUGCAGAGUUCCAUGUCUGUCUUCAAGCAAAUCUCAUAAAUGGAAGGACAAAAUAUCACUGUGCUUUGUCUGCUGACCAUCAGGAGGAUUUUGAAGACAAGUACCAAGUAAGAAGCUGCGUUCCUGAGCAGAACUUUACACGAGGACUCCAUUAUAUGUUUUGGUUCUGCUGGCCCAGGAUGUUAUCUUACCACAGAGAGAUG